AGUUCCAUCUGUGCAGGAAGUCAUGUAUUAUAACCUAGAAUGGAAUGGCAGAAGUGUUGCUAUGUAUUAGCAGAGGCAAACGCAUAAAGACAAUUCUAAAUGGCACAGUAUGGAGGCAUGUGUCGUAGUUUGGCUGUUCCUGUGGCACAAAUAGAAAUGUAAGACUGCCUACUGAAGCAAACAGCCGCCAGCAAUGGUUUGGCAGAGUAAGAUAACCUGGCAACAGUGGAGAGCAGUCCAGUGAGCCCAUGGCAUCAGUAAGAGCUGGACAGUGUGAGAAGGCAAGCAGAGAGCAAGUUGGUUGGCGUGAAAUCGGGGAAAGCCUGAACACAGAAAUCUUUCCAUUUUUCGGAUCGCUGGCCAGAGUUGUAAACGUUUUCUUUUCAAAGUGCACUUAGGCAGUUAUUGAGAAUUAUUGCUUAAUGGGGAUUGCGGCCAAAGUUAAUCUGUGAAUUAAACCAGGAGACGUCCUAGUACGGAGCCUGAAAGUAGCUGUGAAGUCAUUUCCUUUUGGAGGCAUCUGAGUGGGGAGCCUGGAAGUACCCAAUGGAUGAGAGUAGAGGCUAUUAAUAUUAUCUCUUUCAGCAUCCCGAAGAUAAAUUAAUAACUAGAAAUGGCAGCAGCCAGGCCAGAUCAACAAGCUGUCACGUGAUGAACUGGGGGCUGAGCUCUGAGCCAACACCUAGGCCUAGGAUUUGCCAGCAGCGAGAAAGAAAUCUUCUCGAGGAGUAGAAAAAUCUCCCCCAAGAGAAGAUGUCCCAGAAAAAGGGGUCAGCAAGAGGGCCAGUCAUGACUGGGAAUACUUCUAUUCUCAAGGACACCAGAGCGUGGCUAGGAACUCAACAGUCCUUGCUUGGGACCAGGGUUCAUCUAGGCUGACUAGUUGGAGGAGGAAAGGAAGCCUACCAUUUCGCCUGCGUUUGGAUGGAGGUCUAGAGAUUCAAUGGUUGGAAAAUUCAUGUGGCGGCAAGAAAUAGGAACCUAUGGAUAAUAUAUUCUUCAUCUUCUGCCCUACGCUGCUGCUCUUUCCUGCUCAGAGGUGGGUGCAUUUCUACAACGAGGGGAGUAUUGUUUCCUUGGAAAAUGUCUUGCAAGGUCUGGGAUCAGACGAUGGAAGGGAUAGCAUCUAUCAGAACAGGUGCCAUGCUAGUUUGUUUCUUGUGUCAUUAGGCUGACUAUAAGAAAAUUGCCAAAUAAGUGGCAUUAAAAAGAGCCUCGUCAGGUAGUCAGAGGUGCUAGGCUUGCAAAGGUUUCCAAGAUGGAUACUUUAAUUCUAUUAAGAUGUGACUAAGAAAUGAGGCUUCUCUUGAAGUGAAUAUAUUAUGUAAAUAUUAACAAUUUAAGCAUAAAAUUAUAGGCAUUUAAUAGGAAUAAUUAAAUUUUCUAACAUUUGCCUAGCAAGGCCUAUCAUGUCCAUUCAAGGACCCUACUUGCCAUCUCCCAUUGACUUACGGUGGGUUAGCAUUUCCUCUAUGCUGGCUUUUCCAAAAAGAACAAACUCUAAUUGGGAACAAAUGGAAUCAUUUCUUUUAAACCUAAUGAAGAAGCAAGCCUUGGUUAGCAUGUUUUACAUUACAGGAAAGCCAGAAAAAAAAAACCACACCUUAAGGAGAAAACCAGUAAGGGGAUAUGUGUGGUCAGACCUGGGCUUCCCCAGCACUCCAGAGUAAGUCUCUUUGGGAAACUUGUAAAGGAGGCUUUUGUCUCGUAAAUGAUGGUGCUUACCUUUGUCCUGAUUCUGAAGCUUUAAAAACAGCGAACUAGAAAAUAAUGGUAAUAAGAUAAUGAGAAAUGACUCAGUCUCCUCCAUUGGCAAUCUUUUUCCUGCAACAAUGAAGAACUGAUCAAAUUUCCCAAAGCCCUGUAGUUACUUUUCAUUUGUACUUGUUCAUUCAUUCAUUCAUUGACCUACUUACUUUGCUACAAUAAUUAAUACCAAAGUUCUCUUUUCAAAUCGCCCCCUCAAGUCAUUCUGUUCUACAGAUAUGUAGAAACAUAUACUAUGCUUACUAGUACAUGUGUUGAAAUGAGAGUGCUGCAAAUCAAACAUCUUGUAAUACUUGUGGGCAGCUCCACAGACUACUGCUAUAAUCAAAGACUGUAAUCCUGUCUGUAGGAAUUGUAUGUUUGUUGCUUAAAGCCAUCAUUUGAAAAGGAAAUACCAGCUUUUAAAUUUGGAUUUCUCUUCAGCAGGAAAUAUCACAAUAUUUUUAGCUUAGCUUUUAUGGCUGCAGCACACUUUAUUUGGCAACAAGAAGAGUUUAAAAUGGAAAACGUAGUCACUGAUCACUUUGUCUUUUUAGUAUGCAGCCCAGAGGAUUCAGGAAAGAUUACAUUUACCAUAAUUAACAUAUAUGUAAAUGGAGAUCAUGGCUAUGAAUGAUAAAUUUUCAUAGCAAUUUAAACCUUGUACAAAUUAAUCAACCAUACAGACACUUGAUUAAUGGAAAGCAGUGUCACUUUAAAAUGCAACAUGUUAAUAUAUAUUACAGUUAUCACAGAUCAAAGAAUCUUUAAACGUAAACCAGUUAGAGCAAAGUUCAAUCUAGAUUUUUAAUAAAUGCAAUUCUUGUGUAAUUAUGAGAUAAAUUUGAAAAAAAUAAAGAUAGCCUGCUUCAUAUUUAUUUACUAGUUUUAGUAAAAAGUCAUGAGAAUAGAUUUUAGAUAUUUCAUUACAGUGACUAGGAUUCAAAAUACAGAAUUACAGUAUUGGCUAAGGAUGAGAUGAAUGUAAAGAAGAAAUUAGAAUGUAGAGGCAAACGUUUCUCUUCAUUUCAUGAUAAGUCUUGAUGCUUUCUUCUAGGUCCUUGCUUUGAGUCCUGCUGAGAGAGUUGGGGUAAACACAUUAAGCAAACUGACUGACAUCUACUCAGAACAGUGUUUGAGAUGAGAUUUCUCAUUCUGUCUUGGUAAACAUCAUUUGCUCUGUUUUCGAGCAAUAGAAGUAAAAAUUGGGCUAGUCUUGAAUAUGGGGCUGGAGAGAUGACUUUUGCAGAGGACCUAGGUUCUAAACCAGUACCCACACAGUGGUUCACCAUUGCCUGUAGCUCCACUUCCAGGAGAUGCAAUGGCUUCUUCUGGCAUUUGAAGGCAUCACGCUGCCAUGUGCUGUAUGCAUAUACAUCAGGCAGACAUAAUAAAUACAUACAUGCAUACAUACAUACAUACAUACAUACACACAUAUUAUAAGGAAAUGAAAAUAGGAAGACUGCAUAACUUUCAGUAAAAGUUCUUUAGAAAAAAUAUAAAAUUUAUAGUUAAUGUGUAUGUGCUUGAAAUGGAAGAUCUGAGACGUGAAGUCUCUUUACAAUAUAACUGCUUUUUAGGGCACAAAGGCAAUUAUACUACUUUACAAAAUUAAAGUAGAUUUGUUUUAUAGAGGAAAUCCAAUAAUGGGUCAUGAAUGUUCCUCAUUAAUGGAAUCUAGGCUUGUACCAAAUCAUAGCACUUGAACCAAUGUACUCUAUAAUACUCUGUUGAUCAAGGACUGCUAAAGUUUCAAAUGAAGAAAACCUUGAAAUGUGACCCCAAGUUUUUCCCAAUUAACUAGCGCUAAGCUCACUUCAAUAUGGUGGUUACUCGUUGAACAUUUAACUUUGUCGUAUGCCUACUAAGAAACUUUAAAAUGUAAUCAUGUAUGAUUUUAUCAUCAAACUCUUGAAUAGUGAAACAUUUCAUCAAUUAGAAUUAAUAAAUGUUUAUCCAAGAAGUGAUGAAUGAGACUGGGAUACAAACCUUUUGGCUUUUUUACUUUCUAGCUUCUAUACAAUAUAGUGCACUAUCUCCCUAAGAUCAUGAAACGCUAUUAAUAUCUAACUCCUUAAACAGCCCCCAUUGAAGUCACAAUACAACUGAUAUUAAUGUGGAACCAUGACUACUUGAUAUCUGCCCAUGCGUUACAAAUUCUCUAAGUGGUUUAAGUAGCUAGGUAGUCUCACAAAAAUCCCAUUAAUUUAAAAAUAAAAAAGUAAAAGAAAAAGAAAAAACAUCCCACUAAUGUCCAUUGGAACUGUGCAAAAAAAAAAAAAAAAAAAGAUACCUUGAAUCUGCCACUCCUAGAGUGGAUAUUUUAGAUAAGUAGGUAAGUAGAUAAAGUACCUACAAAUCUGGUUACCUUUAAAUGACAUUAGGAUCUUCACAGAGUACUAAGAAUACAAGACUGAGUAGCAUUCUUACCCACAAAAGGCAUAUGGUAUGGUGAGGCAGGAAGGAAAACAGACAUCCAAUCAGAAGACACUAGAUAUAUGCCUUUCCAUGAGAAUAAAGUUUAUGACAAUGUAGAAGUUUACAAUCAUGUACAAGCAGGUGUUGACGGACAAGGGAAAAAUAAAGUUGAGACUAAUUUAAAACAACUGUGUAGUGUGGUUGACCUCAAGAUGCUAGAAACUUCUACAUUGUUGUGUUCUGAUCACUACAGGUAGACUUUAAGGAGGAAAAAAAUUCUUUAGGUAGGCAAAAUAAUGAGCUGAAUUCCUCAGUUGAAAGUUAAAUAAUAUUAUAAUCAAUGUUACAAAAAGCUGGUGAUCAUUGUAUCAGAUCAGGUAUCAGUAGUACCCAAAAUAUUAGUAGUUCAAGGGAGCCUAUCUCUUAGAUUUAUUAAUCCCCUUUCAAGGAAUUCAAGUUUGAAGGAGUCCCAUAACAUUAUAAAGGACAUACAUUCCUUUUCCUUCCUUCACCAUCAUAAAGCUCCUAGAAGGGCCCAACAUUCCUACAAGAACCUACCAUCCCUACCUUUAAUCAGGUUCAAUUCAUUCAGAUGCACGUGAAAUUAGGGAAUACAGCCACAAAAUGGAAAACUGAUGUCUUGACCAAUGUACCCUUCCAAAAUGAGGGAUCCUGUUUCUCUACGAGAAGAUCCAGGGAUGAGUGUUGGAAAACAACGAGUCACAGUCACGAAUCUGUUUUCUUAGUUUGCCGAGGUGGUAAUCAAUUAGUAACACAGCUAUUUCAUGUUUCCUUUACUGUCCACCCCAUGUUCCUUUCUAAGUUCCUCCUGAGCGGUUUGAAGUCUCUGCUCUGCUGUCUGUCAGAAGCAACAAGGCAUUGUCUAGGAUACUGGUUCCAAGCCAGCUUACCCACCAGUGAAUCUGACACGGCACUGAUUUUGGACUUCUCAGGCUCCAGAACAGAAUGCUGCUCUGUAGCUCCAGAGGUCUUGGAAAUUGCUAUGCGGAUUAGCCUAGCUUCUACGUCACAGAGAUCUGCUUUUUCUGUUUCCUGUGUGCUAGGAUUAAAGCCAUGUGCCAACCUGAUUUGGUUGUUAAUUUUGCUUCUCCCUCUCUCUCCCAUUAUGAACACUUCAGUGCCCAGUACUCAUCCACAUGCACCCAGAGUAACUAUGACGUUAAACAUCAGGAGCUGUAGCCCGUGUCAUCCCCAGCCAGACCUCCUCUCUCACAGAUCUCUCUUCUUCAAGCAAUAGCAUGCAAGUUUUCAGAGCAUUUCAGUCUUUCACUAUUAGACUUUAGUAAGGAAUCCUCUAACCCAGUUUCCUUGUUCUCUGCUUGCCAGCACCUUCGUAGAAAAUAUUGUUUACAGCAUUUGAGUCCUGGAAGGCUAAACAUAUGGGGUUGUACACAGAGAACAGAGUGGUAUAGAAGAAGAGCUGUUUUAAAAGAAGUUGGAGUCAGUGGUAUAUAAACACAUGGAGCAUAAUAUUAUACCUGCAUAAAUUAUGUGAUAAUGCAGUAAUUUCAGUGAGUCACAUCUAUCGAUACUUAUUCUGUAGGCUGGCAGAACAGUUGUCACAUGAAGGGGGAUUCCUAGACUUUUACAUUGGCUGUGUAGCAGCUCAUCAAGAGAAAAGCAAACGCCUUCCUGGCUUGACUACUGUUGAUAGAUCAUUAAACAUGCGCUUCCUGAAGGAGGGAUCAAGCUUGGUUCCAGGACAGAGUUUAGGUAUACGCUGCAGAAGUUCUGUAGGGAGACAGGUAGCAUAGCUGUACUAAUGUUCAAGUAACUAAUUGAAAAGAAAGGGGGAGCUUUGACUCUCUUCACUAUGCAAGAGUCCUCCUUGGUAGCUCUCACCCUACUUUGCUCCGUUCAGCUGCUGUAUAGUCUUUUUCUGCUGCUUUCUGCAAACCUCUUUUCUAAAGUGCAAUUUCUUCUCUUCCUUUUCAACCCAAUCCAGCCAUGAGUCAGAACUGAUGGCUUUGCUGCUGUUUUACUGGCUUGCCUUCUCCUACGUGGAGACAUAUUGUUAUGAACAGAGUAAGGAAGCUUCUGACACACGUUUGUUCUAUGAAUGCAAUUUUGACACAGAAUGGUGCACUUUACCCCAGUUAUGUUCCGCGGUACUUGUGGUGAUGUGUGACUGCGUGUGUGUCUGAGAAGAACAUUGUUCUGAAGGUAUUUCAUUGAGAAGUGACAAGAGUGUGUCUACGGGGAUAGCCAGCCUUUUGUAAAAUGAGCACAGGAAUUUUAAAUGCAAUGCUUGUUGGCAGUAACUUAAGUAGUGAGCCAUAUUUGUUUCUAAGGACAGCUCCCCACUACUGCCUUUAUAUCAUUGGCAAGCUGAGCUGGUUUUAGAGUGGUAGAAGUUAAGCCUUGGUCUCCCCUAUGGGAUUUCAAGAACCCAAGUGGGCAAAAGAGAGAUUGAUGAAUAGGAUUAAAUUCAAGUGUUCAAUGUAGAAUGGAAAUGGAGGCAGAAAUUGGGUAUGAUUGCUUUUUUUCCCCACAAAGAGAAUAACCUCACCACAAAGCAUAGUAAAAUACGUAAGCUCAAUGGCUAGAGUCACAUGUACCCUUGUAUAGCUCACAUAUUCAUCCAUUAUUCUCCUGAGGUGGUUUUCGACACUCUUACCCAUAACGGCACAUUAUUAGUAAGCUGCAUGGACGUUACUGUUUACAAACAUCUUAUUUAUAUGAGAUGCUUACAGCAGGUAAAUGAAAUACCAGGCGCUGGAUGGAGAGACACCCAGCAGGUAAGAAAUCUCACUAAGCACACAUGAGGACUUCAGCUCAACAUACCACUCCCUGUACUUACAGAUGGACUGUGUAACCCCAGGACAACUUGGGGUAGAGGCAAGAAGGUUGCUGGAGCUUACUGUCUACCAAAGUAGAUCCAGGUUCAGUGAGAGACACUCACUUAAGGAAACUAGGUGGAGAGUCAUAGAUCAGAACUGAUGUCCAUCCUUCCCUGUCUCUAAGCAUACACAAAUACACACAAACAUAUACACACUCAUAUACACACAUGUACACACAGAGACACACACCAAUCCCAUUUCUGUGCUCGCACGACUGUUGUGAAGAUAACAAAUUUCAGUUUGCUACCCCUCAUCCUCUUGGCAGCACAGAAGGAAAGUCUGGAUAUUAAUGAGAUGUGUUCUUCUAUAAUUACCAUCUGUUUAUUGCUGAAUGAGAUGUGAUCAGCUGAUUUAUACUGUUUACUGAUGCAAACUAAUCAUUCCUGCUGUUUCAUGCACAAAUCACACUCACCUAAAAUGACUUACCCAAGGUCACACAGUCAGACACUAGUAGGAAUACCAGACAGAGCAAACC